AAUGGGGGCAACCCUGAUCCAGCCAUGCCGCGUGAGUGAUGAAGGCCUUAGGGUCGUAAAGCUCUUUCGCCUGUGAAGAUAAUGACGGUAGCAGGUAAAGAAACCCCGGCUAACUCCGUGCCAGCAGCCGCGGUAAUACGGAGGGGGUUAGCGUUGUUCGGAAUUACUGGGCGUAAAGCGCACGUAGGCGGACUGGAAAGUUGGGGGUGAAAUCCCAGGGCUCAACCCUGGAACUGCCUCCAAAACUAUCAGUCUAGAGUUCGAGAGAGGUGAGUGGAAUUCCGAGUGUAGAGGUGAAAUUCGUAGAUAUUCGGAGGAACACCAGUGGCGAAGGCGGCUCACUGGCUCGAUACUGACGCUGAGGUGCGAAAGUGUGGGGAGCAAACAGGAUU
rnacentral:rRNA from 1 species